UUCCCCAUUCCCAUAGUGGUCAGCAGGUUCCACCCUCACCCAAAUUCCCCAAAUCCCACUUUGUUUUUCUCUCUCUACAGGAAAAUAAUCACAUCAGGCCAUUUUCAACAUGUUUAUCCCUCCCCACUGAGGAUAUAAAUAGCAGUGGAAUCUGGUGAGGAAUCUGCCUCGAAGUCUCAUCUUCCAAGGUACCCGUUUGAAAUCUUGCGCUGGAGAGUCACUGAUCCUGAAAACAGCAUUGCUUUAAAAACACGGUGAUGUUUUGGUUGCGGGGGCGGGGUUUUUUUCUGGGGUUUUUCCCCCAGGUGAGGGCAGUUGGGCGAGGCAAUUCUGCAGCCUGUUACGCUGGUUUAGUUUCUACGUGAUCAAUCAGCAUCUGCUGACCAAAAAUCCAGACAAAUUACCUGAUUCGCUCAGAUGAAAAUUACAGAAAAAUUAUUUCUAAGAUCUGAGAUGCUAAUUCUCUUUUAGUCCCAGUAAUGUAAACAUUUAAGGACAUGCAGGUCCUUGUGCAGACCUACACAGUGAAGGGACGUUACGCAGCUGCAGUGCCUGCUCGGUCCAGAGGCGUGUCCUGCUGUGGUCCCUCCGUUGGCCUUCCGUACCAUUCAGUAGUCUUUGCUGGAUCCUGUCACCAGUUUACGCUGCUUUGUUUCAGAAAGCUCAAAUCCAUCCUUCUGAGACUCCAGUUGAUGAAGAAUGUGCAAGUAGUGCCUGAGCUGCGAAUGCCAUGCAGCAGCGUUUGAGGUGUUUAUUUUGGUGGAAACCUUACGGGGGUGAGCACUCAAGGCGUAUCGGAAGGACGUCACGAGCCUGAAACGUCAGAUCUAUAAAACGUAUCUAAAUGUU